AUAAAGAUGAGAAGUGAACUAUAA
rnacentral:siRNA from 1 species